rnacentral:rRNA from 1 species
AUACGUAGGGGGCGAGCGUUGUCCGGAAUGAUUGGGCGUAAAGGGCGCGUAGGCGGCCCGGUAAGUCUGGAGUGAAAGUCCUGUUUUUAAGAUGGGAAUUGCUUUGGAUACUGUCGGGCUUGAGUGCAGGAGAGGUAAGUGGAAUUCCCAGUGUAGCGGUGAAAUGCGUAGAGAUUGGGAGGAACACCAGUGGCGAAGGCGACUUACUGGAUUGUAACUGACGCUGAGGCGCGAAAGUGUGGGGAGCAAACAGGAUUAGAUACCCUGGUAGUCCACACUGUAAACGAUGAAUGCUAGGUGUAGGGGGUAUCGACCCCUUCUGUGCCGCAGUCAACACAAUAAGCAUUCCGCCUGGGGAGUACGGCCGCAAGGUUGAAACUCAAAUGAAUUGACGGGG